CAGAGAGUAGUUUAUUUGAAAACACCAGCUUUGGGAGUUGGAGAAGAGGGUUCAAGGCCUUUCUCUCUGA
rnacentral:tRNA from 1 species